CCCUUAGAUGUCCUGGGCCGCACGCGCGCUACACUGAUGCAUGCAACGAGUUUAUAACCUUGGCCUGAAAGGUCUGGGUAAUCUUUUGAACGUGCAUCGUGAUAGGGAUAGAUUAUUGCAAUUGUUAAUCUUGAACGAGGAAUUCCUAGUAAACGCGAGUCAUCAGCUCGCAUUGAUUACGUCCCUGCCCUUUGUACACACCGCCCGUCGCACCUACCGAUUGAAUGGUCCGGUGAGGCCUCGGGAUUGUGGCCAGUUUCCUUUAUUGGGAGUUGGCUGCGAGAACUUGUCCAAACCUUAUCAUUUAGAGGAAGGUGAAGUCGUAACA
rnacentral:rRNA from 1 species